rnacentral:rRNA from 1 species
UACGGAGGGUGCAAGCGUUAUCCGGAUUCACUGGGUUUAAAGGGUGUGUAGGCGGGCUUUUAAGUCAGCGGUGAAAUCUCCGGGCUCAACCCGGAAACUGCCAUUGAUACUAUUGGUCUUGAAUGUUGUUGAGGUGGGCGGAACGGGUCAUGUAGCGGUGAAAUGCAUAGAUAUGACCCGGAACACCGAUUGCGAAGACAGCCCACUAAGCAACGAUUGACGCUGAGGCACGAAAGCGUGGGGAUCAAACAGG